UACGAAGGGUGCAAGCGUUAAUCGGAAUUACUGGGCGUAAAGCGUGCGUAGGCGGUUUGUUAAGUCCGAUGUGAAAGCCCUGGGCUCAACCUGGGAAUGGCACUGGAUACUGGCAGGCUAGAAUGUGGUAGAGGGGUGCGGAAUUUCCGGUGUAGCGGUGAAAUGCGUAGAGAUCGGAAGGAACAUCCGUGGCGAAGGCGGCACCCUGGACCAACAUUGACGCUGAGGCACGAAAGCGUGGGGAGCAAAC
rnacentral:rRNA from 1 species